AUUGAACGCUGGCGGCAGGCUUAACACAUGCAAGUCGAGCGGGGUGAUGGUGCUUGCACUAUCACUUAGCGGCGGACGGGUGAGUAAUGCUUAGGAAUCUGCCUAUUAGUGGGGGACAACAUCUCGAAAGGGAUGCUAAUACCGCGUACGUCCUACGGGAGAAAGCAGGGGAUCACUUGUGACCUUGCGCUAAUAGAUGAGCCUAAGUCGGAUUAGCUAGUUGGUGGGGUAAAGGCCUACCAAGGCGACGAUCUGUAGCGGGUCUGAGAGGAUGACCAGCCACACUGGAACUGAGACACGGUCCAGACUCCUACGGGAGGCAGCAGUGGGGAAUAUUGCACAAUGGGCGCAAGCCUGAUGCAGCCAUGCCGCGUGUAUGAAGAAGGCCUUCGGGUUGUAAAGUACUUUCAGCGGGGAGGAAGGUGUUGAGGUUAAUAACCUCAGCAAUUGACGUUACCCGCAGAAGAAGCACCGGCUAACUCCGUGCCAGCCGCCGCAGUAA
rnacentral:rRNA from 1 species